rnacentral:rRNA from 1 species
GCUUGUCUCAAAGAUUAAGCCAUGCAUGUCUUAGUGUAAAUAACUCUUAUGAAACUGCGAAUGGCUCAUUAAAUCAGUUAUCAAAUACGUGAUGGUCGCCUACUACAUGGAUAACCGUGGUAAUUCUAGAGCUAAUACAUGCUAUCAAGCCCGACUUCUUGAAGGGUUGUAUUUAUUAGACUUAAGCCAAUAUUCCUUGUGUCUAUUGCGAUGAUUCAUAAUAACUGAUCGAAUCUCAAAUUUGAGAUAAAUCAUUCAAGUUUCUGCCCUAUCAGCUUUCGAUGGUAGUGUAUUGGACUACCAUGGCAGUAACGGGUAACGAAGAAUUAGGGUUCGAUUUCGGAGAGGGAGCAUGAGAAACGGCUACCACAUCUAAGGAAGGCAGCAGG